GGUGUAGCUCAGUGGUAGAGCACUUGCCUAGCAAGUGGGAAGCCCUGGGUUCAAUCCCUGACACUG
rnacentral:tRNA from 1 species